rnacentral:lncRNA from 1 species
UUGUUGUCACUGAGCGACUAAAAAAAUACACAUAUAUAUAUUUUUUUGGAGUCGCAGGCGGUGAAAAUCAGGUGAAGCCGGUGAUGAUUCCGGAGACGCGGCGACUGAAAUUGUUGCCGCUGAAAAAUCCAGCGACCACCUCUCUAUUAGAAAAGAAACCCAGCGACAACCCUCUUCUUCUCUGUUAAAUACAAAUCCAGCGACAACCCUCUUUUUUCCUUUGAAUUUUGUGUCGCCGAUGUGUGUCGCAGCGACACUAAAACGAACACGCCCGAUAUAUUCCAUUUGGAGGGAACGCAAUUCUCGAAUCCAUGGCACAAGUAACUUUGCCAUGGUACAGCUCGUAAUACAGAUUGAGAAACUUAUCCGCAAUCGAAUAUCAUCUCCAAACUACUCCAACAAGCCUUGUCUCCGCCUUUUGCCACAACGUUGGUUCAUGGUACGGCCUUGAGCUUUACUCUGUUUCUCGUGAAAAUUGUGAUCUGCCCCUAUCUUGUUCCCAUUUUAAUUCUUUGUUCAGCUCAGGUUGUUGAGCUUAUUUCAUAGUUUUUAGCUACCUAUUUUUUGUACCUAUUUAUUUAACUCACAGAUGAACGAAUUACACAUUUCAACCAAAAAAAAAUGUAACAGUUUUUUGGUAAAAGUAUUGAAAUAACAUGCAAAUGCAUAUGAAAAA